UGCGCCCCUUGGCUAUUCCGAGGGGCAUGCCUGUUUGAGUAUCAUGAACACCUCAACUCUCACGGUUUGCCGUGAAGAGCUUGGACUUUGGAGGUUUUUGCUGGCCCAUGGUCGGCUCCUCUCAAAUGAAUUAGCUUGCCAGUUUUCGGUGGCGUCACGGGUGUGAUAACUAUCUACGCUUGUGGUUGUCCACUGGGUAACCUUCCGGCGACGGGGGUUUGCUGGAGCUUAUAAAUGUCUCUCCUUGGCGAAGACAGCUUUUUGAACAUUUGAUCUCAAAUCAGGUAGGACUACCCGCUGAACUUAAGCAUAUCAAUAAGCGGAGG
rnacentral:rRNA from 1 species